rfam:Otolemur garnettii contig137937, whole genome shotgun sequence.
GCUGGGUAUGCUGGCGCAUGCCUGUAGUCCCAGCUACUGGGGAGGCUGAGACAGGAGGAUCGCUUGAGUCCAGGAGUUCUGGGCUAUAGUGUGCUAUGCCAAUCAGGUGUCUGCUCUAAGAUUACCAAAAUUAUGAUGACCUCCCCGGAUCAGGGGGCCACUAGGUUGCCUAAGGAGGGGUGAACCAGCCCGGGUCAGAAACAUAGCAGGUCAAAGCUCCCGUGCUGAUCAGUAGUGGGAUCGUGCUUGUGAAUAGCCACUGCACUCCAGCCUGGGCAACAUAGUGAGACCCCAUCUCUU